AGGGGGGGAUAUAUGGUCUUCCAUCAGUCAGGAGAAGGGGGUGGUGAAGCAAGCUAUGACCUCUGGUUCACAGAUGGCCAAGAUGGGCGAACAGCUCAAGAGGGACCUCAAACGGCAACCUACAAGACAACUCAGUUCUACUCCUGCUAGAUAUGAGUCUGAUUCCGACGACACAUGUUGAUAUUUUUGAUCCACCCAAAAAACGAAAAAUGGUGAUUAACACCAGUGAGGAGGAGGAGGAGGACGCCAUCCCUCAGGCGGAGUCUCAGCGGCCAGGGACAGUGCUUGCAGUUUUUGUUGAGUUGGAUUAGGACAGUUUGAAGG